rnacentral:rRNA from 1 species
AUUGAACGCUGGCGGCAGGCCUAACACAUGCAAGUCGAGCGAGUGGCGGACGGGUGAGUAAUGUAUGGGAAACUGCCCGAUAGAGGGGGAUAACUACUGGAAACGGUAGCUAAUACCGCAUACCAUCAGAUGUACCCAGCUGGGAUUAGCUUGUUGGUGGGGUAACGGCUCACCAAGGCGACGAUCCCUAGCUGGUCUGAGAGGAUGACCAGCCACACUGGAACUGAGACACGGUCCAGACUCCUACGGGAGGCAGCAGUGGGGAAUAUUGCACAAUGGGCGCAAACCUGAUGCAGCCAUGCCGCGUGUAUGAAGAAGGCCUUCGGGUUGUAAAGUACUUUCAGCGGGGAGGCGUUACCCGCAGAAGAAGCACCGGCUAACUCCGUGCCAGCAGCCGCGGUAAUUC